UCAGAGGUUGUUAAUGUGGCCCAGGAAAGGGAAGUUUGGGGACCUCCAGUGAAGCUGUUGUCCCUGCACCCUGAUCUCAGAUAAGCAGUUGCAGAUGAGUGAGGAGACA